CGGACAGACACUCACAGGAGAUUUACUCAGUCUGUAGUGGUUAAUUUGCCUGUGUUUUUAGGAAAGUUGAGACCGUUGUGCCCGACCAGUCUGUCAGCAUCCCAUUGGGGGGAUCCUUCACUGAGCAGUCCUACUGGAUCAGGGGGUGGUUCGAGUGACUUAGGGAAACACACCAACAGUGUAAGAGAGACCCCUCAGCAGGUCUUCCCCUUUACCCAUUGUGUUACCCUGCUGCUGCCGACUGGUAGCGUCCGCCAAGGAUUCACACUAACAGUUUAUGGAAUAACACGCUUUAUUAAUAUAAAUUGUGACAGGUUAAGGUUCGAAGACUGUCGGUGAUAGUGUCUGACUGCAAAAAUAUAUUUGAAGGAAUAUACAGACAAGCUCUAAUCCCCAAUAAAAUGUUCAGCAUGCAUAGAGUAUGAUUCUUAUCCAAUAGGCAUGUGCAUGGGGGAGAAGACGGGUUCAGCCCAUCAACUGAUCCCAGCAGCUACGAUGGAGUCUUCCCUAACUUUUCCCCAUUCUUGACUUAUUUUUAUACUAUUUCUGUGUGUUUAGGUGGAGUUUGAGUGACUCUAGUCAUACAUACCUUUGUUACUGAUUGGUGUAAAAUUCUCUUGCUUUGCUUUUAAAAAUACAGUCAGAAAGAAUAUAGAGCACAUGCCCAGUGAGGGAUGGUCGCACUUUGGAGGUGGGUAACUUUGGGAUGGAGGUGUGCGUUAAUAUUAUUAUUAUUAUUAUUAUUAUUAGGCUUUAAUGAAGCAAGUUCAUCUAAGGAGAGUGAUUUCACCACAGUUGCUGUCUCAGCACUAAGACAUCUUCCCCUAUCUCCCUUGGUUGACAGGUGGUAUGCUGUUUUAUCAGCUGCAAAGUACCAUCGAGUUCCCUUCCCUGCAAGGAUUUCUGCAGAGCCUGGCCUUCGCUCCGCUCCACCUUCCAUUCCAUCCCUCUUAGCAGGAAGUCACUUGAUGGUGUGACAUGAACCAGCGAAGAGACCAUUUCACAAGGAGCAAGGAGAGUUCGAUGAUGACCCAGGCAGGGCUGGUGUUCAUGCUGAACAAUGGAGUGUGCUGCCUUUUCUGUCCUGAGCACCCAUCUUGAUGGCCUGGAUCCCAAGUUGCAGCCUGUUUUUAAACAUCUGGAGGGAUGGAGGAAACCCAUGAAAUGGGAAAUAAAUAUCUGUGAAUGGACUGGUGACAGUAGUUAAUAAAAAUGUAUGCCUCUA